AGCGAACGCUGGCGGCAGGCUUAACACAUGCAAGUCGAGCGGGCAUCCUUGUGGUGUCAGCGGCAGACGGGUGAGUAACGCGUGGGAACGUGCCCUUCGGUUCGGAAUAACUCAGGGAAACUUGAGCUAAUACCGGAUACGUGCGAGAGCAGAAAGGUUUAUCUGCCGAAGGAUCGGCCCGCGUCUGAUUAGCUAGUUGGUGAGGUUACGGCUCACCAAGGCGACGAUCAGUAGCUGGUCUGAGAGGAUGAUCAGCCACACUGGGACUGAGACACGGCCCAGACUCCUACGGGAGGCAGCAGUGGGGAAUAUUGGACAAUGGGGGCAACCCUGAUCCAGCCAUGCCGCGUGAGUGAUGACGGCCUUAGGGUUGUAAAGCUCUUUUCUCCGGGACGAUAAUGACGGUACCGGAGGAAUAAGCCCCGGCUAACUUCGU
rnacentral:rRNA from 1 species